UACAGAGACUGCAAGCGUUAUUCGGAUUCACUGGGCGUAAAAGGUGCGCAGGCGGCCGUGUGUGUGAGGCGUGAAAGCCCGGGGCUUAACCCCGGAAUUGCACCUCAAACUACAUGGCUAGAGCAUUGGAGAGGGUAGCGGAAUUCACGGUGUAGCAGUGAAAUGCGUAGAUAUCGUGAGGAACACCAGAGGCGAAGGCGGCUACCUGGACAAUUGCUGACGCUCAGGCACGAAAGCGUGGGGAGCAAAAGGG
rnacentral:rRNA from 1 species